UCACCUCUGAGCAUCCUGCGGGACCCUGCCCUGGACCACGACCAUCUUUCCGGCGUGAAGGCCACCAAAAAUUGUUGUGGCGUAGGGGACGACCUGAACCCCCAGGGAAACAAAGUCACAGGCUGGGACAGGUGACGAGAAGCAGCUGGCCUGGAAGAGCUGGAAUGAUGGGGAGAAUUUGUGCUCGGAACUCGGGACUGGGCCAGGAUCACACAGUCAGUCCUAGUCUGGACAAGAGCUUCAGGGCCUACAAAGCUCUGGAUGAGGAGACGGUCUCCAAGAGCCUCCAGGUGAGUGACAAAAACGAAGCUCAGACAAGUUAAAAGAGGCCCCGGGCAGGACUCACCGGCAUUCUACCUCCUGGAUGGUGUCAGGCAUUGGCUGGUUCCUUGAUUCAGGGAGGAAGAGGAAGACCAGAAGGCUGGCAGCGAUGGCUGCAGUGGCAAAGAUGAUCUGUGGCAGGACUGGAAUGUAGUGCGUGAGUAUGUUCACCAGAGGGGCCAGGAUUGCCCCGGUCCGAUCAAACAGGAGAAUCGUUCCCUUGGACAUGUCCCUGCCAGGGCACAGGAGAUCCCCAGUUAGUGAGUCUAGAGUGCACGAGAGCAUUCUGGAGUUCUGAGAUUCUUAAAGGCUGCAGGAAGCUCCGGGGUUCCUGGAAUUUGUACGUUUGAAGGGAAAGAAACUGUUGCUUAAUCCUCAGCUGUUCUGCUCAACAAGAAAGUGGAUGCCUGAAUCGAGUUUUCCCAGAUAGCUUUUAUUGUUCCCGUUUCCCUCCGGUGAAUGGGUGAAGGGGUGAGCUCCUUCAUCACCAGCGAGAAGGCAACUCCUCACUGGCCCCCUCUGAAAGAUGCCAUCAUCCUGCCAUAUCUGUACUCCUACCUAAGACAGUGCAAGUUCCUUCAGGGUAGGUGCUGUUGGCUUAUGGAUUUCCCAGAAAAGCUAAAGAAACAAUAUACACAUUGAGGACAAGAGAAAGGAAAGUGACACAAAGCAGAGUCUCCCCACCCCCCACUCCUUUGCAGAGCAGAGAGGUCCAUGGGUGGGAAACACUGGAGAUAUUUUCAGACUUUUUCAAUGCUCUGAUCACUUCUACUGUUUUUUCUCUUUUUCUUUAAAAUAUUCUUUGUUAUAGGGCUGGCUGGCUCUCUAGGAGGGGGGGAGGGAGAGGAGUAAUGUGAGAAAUUUAGGUGAUGUGAAAACAAAUGAUAUCACCGAAGUUUUAAAAAGGAUUAAGUUGCCCUCAUUUUCAGAGCUAAUAAUGAAAUCCUUUCUUUUCUUCCUUCUCUCUUCCCUUCAUUCAUCUCUCUUUCCCUCCCUCUCUCCCUCCCUUCCUUUUCCCUCCCUUCCUCCCUCCCUUCUUCCCUUCCUCCUUCCCUUCCUUCUUCUCUCCCUCCCUCCCUCCCUCCCUCCCUCCCUCCCUUCCUUCCUUCCUUCCUUCCUUCCUUCCUUCCUUCCUUCCUUCCUUCCUUCCUUCCUUCCUUCCUUGCUUCCUUCCUUCCUCCCUCCCUCCCUCCCUCCCUUCCUUGCACUUCUUUCUCUUUUGUGUCUUCAGAAUGUCAUUUUUUAGGGGGCAGCUGGGUAGCUCAGUGGAUUGAGAGCCAGGCCCAGAGAUGGGAAGUCCUGGGUUCAAAUCUGGCCUCAGACACUUCCCAGCUGUGUGACCCUGGGCAAGUCACUUGACUCCCAUUGCCUAGCCCUUAUCAUUCUUCUGAUGUAGAGCCAAUAUACAGUAUGGAUUCCAAGGUGGAAGGUAAGGGUUUAAAAAAAAAGAAAAAAAAAGAAUUUCAUUCUUUACCAUCUCCCUUCUUAUCUGGGCUAUCUUCCUCUGAAGCAUUUUAGUUGGAGAGAUGCUUCUUGACUUUUCCCUGAACCUAUUAAAAUUUGCUUUCCCUAAA